rnacentral:rRNA from 1 species
UACGUAGGGUGCGAGCGUUGUCCGGAAUUACUGGGCGUAGAGAGCUCGUAGGUGGUUUGUCGCGUUGUUCGUGAAAACCGGAGGCUCAACCUCUGGCGUGCGGGCGAUACGGGCAGACUUGAGUACUGCAGGGGAGACUGGAAUUCCUGGUGUAGCGGUGGAAUGCGCAGAUAUCAGGAGGAACACCGGUGGCGAAGGCGGGUCUCUGGGCAGUAACUGACGCUGAGGAGCGAAAGCGUGGGGAGCGAACAGG